AUUGAACGCUGGCGGCAUGCCUUACACAUGCAAGUCGAACGGUAACGCGGGGCAACCUGGCGACGAGUGGCGAACGGGUGAGUAAUGCAUCGGAACGUGCCCAGUAGUGGGGGAUAGCCCGGCGAAAGCCGGAUUAAUACCGCAUACGACCUACGGGUGAAAGGGGGGGAUCGCAAGACCUCUCGCUAUUGGAGCGGCCGAUGUCAGAUUAGGUAGUUGGUGGGGUAAAGGCCUACCAAGCCGACGAUCUGUAGCUCGUCUGAGAGGACGACCGGCCAAAAUGGGGCUGAAUCACGGCCCAGACUCCUACGGGAGGCAGCAGUGGGUAAUUUUUGACAAUGGGCGCAAGCCUGAUACAGCCAUGCCGCGUGCGGGAAGAAGGCCUUCGGGUUGUAAACCGGUUUUGUCAGGGAAGAAACGCGCUGAGUUAAUACCUCGGCUUAAUGACGGUACCUGAAGAAUAAGCACCGGCUAACUACGUGCCAGCCGCCGCCGUAACAC
rnacentral:rRNA from 1 species